GUCCCCGUAGCUCAAUUGGAUAGAGCGUUGGCCUCCGGAGCCAGAGGUUGCAGGUUCGAGUCCUGCCGGGGAUA
rnacentral:tRNA from 1 species